GACGAACGCUGGCGGCGUGCUUAACACAUGCAAGUCGAACGGAAAGGCCCUGCUUUUGUGGGGUGCUCGAGUGGCGAACGGGUGAGUAACACGUGAGUAACCUGCCCUUGACUUUGGGAUAACUUCAGGAAACUGGGGCUAAUACCGGAUAGGAGCUCCUGCUGCAUGGUGGGGGUUGGAAAGUUUCGGCGGUUGGGGAUGGACUCGCGGCUUAUCAGCUUGUUGGUGGGGUAGUGGCUUACCAAGGCUUUGACGGGUAGCCGGCCUGAGAGGGUGACCGGCCACAUUGGGACUGAGAUACGGCCCAGACUCCUACGGGAGGCAGCAGUGGGAAAUAUUGCGCAAUGGGCGGAAGCCUGAUGCAGCGACGCCGCGUGCGGGAUGACGGCCUUCGGGUUGUAAACCGCUUUCUCCUGUGACGAAGCGUGAGUGACGGUAAUGGGUAAAGAAGCACCGGCUAACUACGUG
rnacentral:rRNA from 1 species